GUUUAGAGCCUGAUACAGAGGAGUCACAUACAACCACUGCUAACACUUUUUGCAGUGCUGAAAAGGCAUAUAUAUUAUUAAGCUGAUUGACAUUUAAAUCAUGACCUAUAUUUGGUUACAUUCUUAUUGUAUCCUACAGGACUUUGUCAUCGGAAAUUCCAUCAAGCCCCAAAUUUUUUUGUUUGCUGUGGAUGAGCUGUCAGAAGAUCCAGUAACACUGCAGGUGACAUGAAUUCCAAGCCUGAAUCAUGCAAUGAGCUCUGUCCUUCAUGGCAUCUUCAGCAGAUUUCUCUGAGCUUGAAUUUUCAAAAGCUGUUAUAAAUCCAAGCCCUGCAGUUCUACACUGGAAACAGAACCACGUCAUACCUGAGAUGAAAGGAUUUUAAGCCAGCUGCACAGUUGUCUUCUACAGCAGGCUUUCUGAAGCCAAAGCCUGCUGAAAGAAAUAACAUUACUGGAGUGAAUGGAUGAGGAGGAAAAGCUGGCAAAAACACAGUAAAAGUUUGUU